CUGUGUGCCUAUUUUGAAGGACUGUGUGUCCGAACGGCUGUGUGCCUAUUUUUCCAAGGACUGUGUGUCCAUAAAAGUCUGUGGUAAAGCCUGUGUCCAGGGUUUUCCGGAUGAAGUAACUUGGGGAGUUGAUGUAACCUCUAUAUACGACCUUGAAGAGUCUAUAUACGACCUUGAAGAGUCUAUAUACGACCUUGAGGAGUCUAUGUAUGACCUUGAUGAACCUGUGUAUAACCUGAAGAUACCUAGGCCUCAGAGGAACCUAUAUAAUGACCUUGAGGAGCCUAUUUAACCUUGUGAAACCUAUGCGACCUUGAGUCAACCUUGUUGGGACAUCCCAUCGGAUACGUUGGGAAGACCAGUGAAAUCAGACCAGUGAUGAAAUUGUACCUGUUAAAGACAUUCGCGCGUGUUACAUUUAAAAUUACUUGCAAUUUGACUCUAGGCUAAUUCUGUAAUUUAAAGUACAUAACGUAGGUGUAAGUAUCUUUGAGUGUGUGUGAGAGAAACCUGCAAGAUUAACGAUUAUGCAUUUCAUGUUUGUUUUGUUGUGUUUAGUUUGUAAAUAAAUGUACAUAAUUUGUUA